GCCGGGCAUGGUGGCGCGCGCCUGUAAUCCUAGCUACUCGGGAGGCUGAGGUAGGAGAAUCACUUGAACCCAGGAGGCAGAGGUUGCAGUGAGCCAAGAUCAUGCCACUGCACUCCAGCCUGGGUGACAGAGUGAGACUCUAUCUCAA
rnacentral:SRP_RNA from 1 species